UUCAUUCCUACUGUAUGGACUUGGAAGGAAACCCCGAGAAAAUUUGUGCCUUUUUAAGAUGCUUGAGCCUUAAGUGCUAUUUAUGAAGAAUGUAACCACUUUCACAACUCCUUCAAGACUUCAGGAGUUGUCGCAAUCUGAUACGUGUCCUCAAAACCUGCCUAAUACAUGCAGUUUUCUGUUAAAAAAAUGACUCUAGUGAUGAGAGUGCCCAUCUGAGCUGUGGUGACCCACAUUCGAUAGAGACCUCUGCCAGAAGGUGUUCCAGCUUCCUUCUAGAAUACUGCCACAAGCGUCGGGGUACAGAGGUAUUUUGAGGUGGCAGGUAUGAUACAGGACAUAAUGAUCAGCACCACAACUGCUUCACUUCCAUAUUUAAGAAUUUCUGAGUUUGAAGAAAAAAAGAGGCUGGCAGUGGAGAAUGGAAGACCCAGUCUACACCACUGUUAGGAUUGAAUAGAAACAGUGAACACUGUGGAAGAGAAAG
rnacentral:lncRNA from 1 species